UACGUAGGGGCUAGCGUUAUCCGGAAUUACUGGGCGUAAAGGGUGCGUAGGUGGUUUCUUAAGUCAGAGGUGAAAGGCUAUGGCUCAACCGUAGUAAGCCUUUGAAACUGGGAAACUUGAGUGCAGGAGAGGAGAGUGGAAUUCCUAGUGUAGCGGUGAAAUGCGUAGAUAUUAGGAGGAACACCGGUGGCGAAGGCGGCUAUCUGGACAGUAACUGACGCUGAGGCGCGAAAGCGUGGGGAGCAAACAGGAUUAGAUACCCCCGUAGUCCCUGAGCGGG
rnacentral:rRNA from 1 species